CCUACGGGUGGCAGCAGUGGGGAAUAUUGCACAAUGGGGGAAACCCUGAUGCCGCGACGCCGCGGGAGUGAAGAAGUAAUUCGUUAUGUAAAGCUCUAUCAGCCGGGGAGAAAAUGACGGUACCUGAGUAAGAAGCCCCGUCUAACUACGUGCCAGCUGCCGCGGUAAUACGUCGGGGGCAAGCGUUAUCCGGAUUUACUGGGUGUAAAGGGAGCGUAGUCGGCAGUGCAAGUCUGGAGUGAAAGGCGGGGGGUCAACCCACGGACUGCGCUGGAAACUGUACGGCUGGAGUGCAGGAGAGGUAAGUGGAAUUCGUAGUGUAGCGGUGAAAUGCGUAGAUAUGAGGAGGAACACCAGUGGCGAAGGCGGCUUACUGGACUGUAACUGACGUUGAGGCUCGAAAGCGUGGGGAGCAAACAGGAUUAGAUACCCCAGUAGUC
rnacentral:rRNA from 1 species